CAGAAGAUAUUGUCAGCUAUGUUGGCAGCAAUCAAAGAUGAUCAGUUCUUCCAUGUCACAACUUAAGUGAAACAGCUUGAUCAAUGGCCAGCUUAAACAGCUUUUCAAAUGCUUGUGAUCAACUAAACAUAGCAACUAUAAUACAACUUCAGCAUUCAAUUUCAACUCUCAACUAAUCAACGGACAUUACCAACAGCAUUCAAUUUCAACCCUCAACUAAUC
rnacentral:misc_RNA from 1 species